rnacentral:rRNA from 1 species
GACGAACGCUGGCGGCGUGCUUAACACAUGCAAGUCGAACGGAAAGGCCCUGCUUUUGUGGGGUGCUCGAGUGGCGAACGGGUGAGUAACACGUGAGUAACCUGCCCUUGACUUUGGGAUAACUUCAGGAAACUGGGGCUAAUACCGGAUAGGAGCUCCUGCUGCAUGGUGGGGGUUGGAAAGUUUCGGCGGUUGGGGAUGGACUCGCGGCUUAUCAGCUUGUUGGUGGGGUAGUGGCUUACCAAGGCUUUGACGGGUAGCCGGCCGGAGAGGGUGACCGGCCACAUUGGGACUGAGAUACGGCCCAGACUCCUACGGGAGGCAGCAGUGGGGAAUAUUGCACAAUGGGCGGAAGCCUGAUGCAGCAACGCCGCGUGCGGGAUGACGGCCUUCGGGUUGUAAACCGCUUUCGCCUGUGACGAAGCGUGAGUGACGGUAAUGGGUAAAGAAGCACCGGCUAACUACGUG